CCCGCUUUUGGCCUAAAGGUUAGCUGAUCUCAAUCAGGCUGCUACAGAAACUCAGCAUUUAUUGACAGGGCACACUGUUUUUGAUCUGUCUAGAAAUGGAGGCAUUAUGAAGUGCACUUGCCAGUACCUGUGUUAAUUGAUGAGUCUCUCUUUUACACAAUCAUAGUUAUGAGCAGCCCAAGAGGAGGAACAAUGGUAGCUCCAGAAGUUCUAACAGGAAGAGGAAAGGGUCAGAGAUUUUAUUAAGAAAAGAAUUUUGGAGGAGUAAUCAGCGGAUUUGACUUGAAACAAUAGCUGCAGAAUAUGUUUAAUUUUGAAGAUCUACACUUUUAUUUCAGAGAAGUAUGGAGGGGCACAAUGAGUAAAUACAAAUGUUUGGUCCACUAUCUUGGAUCAGAAGGCUAGCCGAACAUCUUGGAUUCCACUGAGCUAAUUGACAUUGUAUAAUAAUGAAAAAAAUAAACAAAUUUCUCAAGACUCAAAAUAUCUAAGAAUGUAGGUCAAGAACAUUUAAGAGGGGGAAGAUGGGUGUAAAUAUCUGAGAACAUUCUGGGGAAAGGAGUUACAGUGAUGAACAAAGAAGACAUAUUUGAGAAGUGAAGAAUACAGACAAGUAAGCAGACAAAUACGAGACCGUGAUAAACCCUACCAUGAUCCAAUGAUCAGGUGCUAUGGGAACAUAAAGACAGACAUAUGCUUGGAACGAGGAGUCAGGAAAAUGUUCCCAGGGGAAAUGACAUCUCUGAAACCUAAAGGAUUUGAGAGGAACUCAUCAUGGCUGAGACAUCAUCUGUGAGGUGGAGAAUUGUGAGGCCUGAGGCAGGAGACAUAAGCAGAAAAAUUAUAAAGGAACAUCUGCCCCCACACUAGAGAGCUUGAACUUGACCAUGAGGGCAAAGAGAAGAGCAACUAAAGGGGUUGAGAUUGGGAUGCAACAAGGUCUGAUUUGCAUUUGAGAAAGAUCUCUCUUGCUAUAAUAUGUGGAAUGUGUUAAGAGAUGAAAACAACUGGGCACCUGGUGCUGGGAACUCAGAUAGGAGUCUGUGACCAUAACCCAGGAAAGCGGGGAGAAGGCCUUAGACUAAAAUAGUAGCAGUAGACUAGAGACAAGUGGAUAGAAUCAAUCUGGAGGGCAUGUCUGUGGCAGAGUCCACAAGGGUAGGAGGAAGGGCAUAAAGCUGUAGGCUAAAUGUGCUUUUUUAUCGGAGUCUGAGGACCCCAGAAUGUUCAGCUGCUCAGAGCAGGGCUUCCUGUGGGCUCCUUCUGUUUGCAGCCUGUUUCACCUUUCACAACGCAGCAUUAUUUGGUCUCCCCCUUUCCACAAAGGGCCUGUUCUCUGAACCUCUGUGGUCCAUUUUCCAUCUCCCUCCAACCCCACCUGAAACAGUGGCCUUUCCUCCUCACCUUCCCACCCACCCCAACCCUGUACACUUCCCAAAGCCCAAGAUAGUCCCUAUGGAGUGACUUCUUGAGGGCUUCUAUUGAAAAGGCAGGGAUAGCCCUUGACUCUAUAGAGUUGACGGCAGAUAGUGGAUGAUGGAGGGAGAGAGGUAAUCCAGGAAACUGGUCCUUUUUAAGAUUGUAGUGGUUUAGGAUGCUAAAGCCAGAGGAUCACUUAAGGCCAGGAGUGAGUUCAAGACCAGCCUGAGUAACAUAGCAGUA
rnacentral:lncRNA from 1 species